ensembl:lncRNA
GUAGUGCUCAAUCUGACCAAAUUCUCAACUUGUUGACCUUAACAGGCCUGAAGCUUUGGAGAACUUAUUUGGGUGAGGGUUAUGUCUUAUUUCCGUUGCACUGCCAAGCUUUUAUGUUCAUUAAAGUUGCUGAACUGUGCUGUCCCUUGACAGCAGGAAGCAUAGGGUUUUUCCCUGCCAAGCAGGACAGGAUCCAGUGAGGCUGCACUCCCUGCUGUGGAUGCAUUUCACAACUGUAAAAAACAUCCAGAUUGUUUCCAGAAGCUAUUUGUGCUGAAAGAUUGUCUAGCCAUGGAUAUAUGUUGAGGAAAAAGUCUUAUCACACUGAGGUACUUUCAUCAACAGUAGCUCACAGAAUGGGACUGCACUGUUGCCAGAUCCAUAAUGCUGAAGGUCUCCUUUCAGAUGACUUUCAGGAGACCUCAGUUAGAUGGACCCAAACUUCUGGUGGGCCCCAACUACGACUAUAUUUCAUGUCUGACUUAAACGUAUGCAUUUUUACGUGUCAGUGAAGAGAAUGUGAUUUUUUUAAAUCAUCUUUGUGUAUGAAAAAUACUGAAAUUUAUUGCAUUGUAGGGUUGCAAAUUCUCAAGCAUUUAUUUUAAAACUAAUAUCUUUCUGAAAUUAUCCAAUUUGUUCUAAAAAAAAAAAAAGAUAAAAUAUGCUGCAAAGAAAGAAUCAGAACAGAUUUUUCAGCAUGUUUUUAUUUAUGGGAAAAUUUUUUGAAUAACGUAUUUUCAGUCACUGCCAAAGAAGUCACCUUCU